UGCCUAAUCUUAUGGAGGGGAAAACUGUUCUUCUUUGUCUGAUGGUGCUAGUGUUGCUAGUAAAUUCCACUCACGCUGGUACAAAAUUGAUCUCCCUAUUGCUAUAUAUGUGUUUUAGUUUUACAUCAAAUUGCAGUAAAACAAGUUGUCAUGAAUAUUGUCGAAUCAACUACAUGAAUUUCUUUGUACACUUUCAAUUUGGAAUUCUCUGGCUGAUGUAUGUAUGUUGUCUACAGAGCAUUGCGAAACACACAUUACACCGGACUUUAUGUGCUCGAGUUACCAUUGCCGGAGUAUGUGCAGGGAUGAGUGGGACCAUGUAAAGGAAGCGUACUGCAGCAUCGGCAAGUCAUUUUUUCAACGUCAAUGUGUCUGCGUUGUAUGUGACUAGAGUAGCACUCUAGCAUCAUACCAAAUAAUGAACAAUUAUGCCCAAUAAUAAAAUGUUCUUGUGACAUGUAUAAAAGAACCUUGAUCUCCAAGGUCAUGUGUUCUAUUUGAUUUGAUUUUAUAGUGCAUAAUAUUAG
rnacentral:lncRNA from 1 species